UUGGGCGUUUAGCUCAGCUGGUUAGAGCACUGCCCUGAUAAGGCAGAGGUCUCUGGUUCGAGUCCAGAAACGCCCACCACUCGACCGGCCGCCGCAGGGUGCCGGGACGGAUGGGGACGUAGCUCAGUCGGAAGAGCAUCUCCUUUGCAAGGAGAGGGUCAGGAGUUCGAGUCUCCUCGUCUCCACCACGACCCCGACGAGAAGGAGGACGGACUGACGGCACCACGACAGCGCAGGCAAUCGAAUAUCGGGUAGACCCCGGCGACUCUCGACGGUGAACGACCGGCUGCUUCCAGGCGGCUCGAGUGACCCUCGGGUCGUCUUCGUGCGUCAGAGACAUCCAUCGACCCCCUGAUCCGUGGGUUCGAGGCUGCGGCCUCGAGGUCACCGACCAGUGGACCGCUGGGCGGGCUUCGGCCCGGGCCUCCUCUGGAGGCGGCACCUUACCAAGUGAAGAUGUGAUCGGCAAAGAGAUUUACGAGUAUUCGUACUUCGAUUUCUGCCGUGAAUCGACGACAAGGUGAUGACCCCGAGGACCAUCCCUUCACGACUGACCGUUGGGUGAGUUGCUGAGGGAGGUCAAGCUACACAGGGCACGG
rnacentral:tRNA from 1 species